rnacentral:rRNA from 1 species
CCCUUAGAUGUCCUGGGCCGCACGCGCGCUACACUGACAUGUUCAACAAGCCUCCUAGUUCGACAGGAUUUGGGAAAUCUUUGAACGCAUGUCGUGAUAGGGAUAGAUCAUUGCAAUUAUUGAUCUUGAACGAGGAAUUCCUAGUAAGCGCGAGUCAUCAGCUCGCAUUGAUUACGUCCCUGCCCUUUGUACACACCGCCCGUCGCACCUACCGAUUGAAUGUUUCGGUGAAGAUUCCGGAUAGGACUUUUUUGAUUUAUUUCAAUUCUGUCUUAAAAGCUAUCUAAACCUCAACAUUUAGAGGAAGGUGAAGUCGUAACA